UGAGAGAAAAAUAAAUGUGGGUGAAUGUGAGUAAAUGGGUGAAUGAAUGGGGAAGGUAAAAAGUAGGGUGGUGUAACGGUCGUGUCCCCAACGGUUACUAACGUUCACCUAUUCUGAAGCUGUCACGCUCGUGACAGAAGGUGUUACGGGCGUCACAGGCACUUGGUGUGACGACCGUGAUGGCGUGUGUGAAUUCACCUAUUCUGAAGCUGUCACGCUCGUGACAGAAGGUGUUACGGGCGUCACAGGCAC
rnacentral:lncRNA from 1 species